UACGUAGGUGACAAGCGUUGUCCGGAUUUACUGGGCGUAAAGAGCGCGCAGGCGGUCGAUCAAGUCGAGUGUGAAAGCCCCCGGCUCAACUGGGGAGGGUCAUUCGAUACUGAUCGACUCGAAGGCAGAAGAGGGAAGCGGAAUUCCCCGGUGUAGUGGUGAAAUGCGUAGAUAUCGGGAGGAACACCAGUGGCGAAGGCGGCUUUCUGGUCUGCUCUUGACGCUGAGGCGCGAAAGCUAGGGUAGCAAACGGG
rnacentral:rRNA from 1 species